CAGGCCUAACACAUGCAAGUCGAACGCACCGCAAGGUGAGUGGCAGACGGGUGAGUAACACGUGGGAAUCUACCCGACCCUUCGGAACAGCUCUGGGAAACUGGAGCUAAUACCGGAUACGCCCUUCGGGGGAAAGAUUUAUCGGGGUGGGAUGAGCCCGCGUCGGAUUAGCUAGUUGGGGGGGUAAGGGCCCACCAAGGCGAUGAUCAGUAGGGGUUCUGAGAGGAUUGGCCCCCACAUGGGUACUGAGAUACGGACCCAACUCCUACGGGAGGCAGCAGUAGGGAAUAUUGGGCAAUGGGCGAGAGCCUGACCCAGCCAUGCCGCGUGCCGGAUGAAGGCGCUCAGCGUUGUAAACGGCUUUUGACUGGGAAGAACGGCAGGUUUGCGAACUUGGUGACGGUAUAAAAGAAGCGCCCAGGUUCAUCAUGAUGCGCCCAGCCGCUGACACCAUCCAAUUGGCCGCCACCAU
rnacentral:rRNA from 1 species